rnacentral:rRNA from 1 species
GGGUUGUGAGGUUAAGCGACUAAGCGUACACGGUGGAUGCCCUGGCAGUCAGAGGCGAUGAAGGACGUGCUAAUCUGCGAUAAGCGUCGGUAAGGUGAUAUGAACCGUUAUAACCGGCGAUUUCCGAAUGGGGAAACCCAGUGUGAUUCGUCACACUAUCAUUAACUGAAUCCAUAGGUUAAUGAGGCGAACCGGGGGAACUGAAACAUCUAAGUACCCCGAGGAAAAGAAAUCAACCGAGAUUCCCCCAGUAGCGGCGAGCGAACGGGGAGGAGCCCAGAGCCUGAAUCAGUGUGUGUGUUAGUGGAAGCGUCUGGAAAGGCGCGCGAUACAGGGUGACAGCCCCGUACACAAAAAUGCACAUGCUGUGAGCUCGAUGAGUAGGGCGGGACACGUGGUAUCCUGUCUGAAUAUGGGGGGACCAUCCUCCAAGGCUAAAUACUCCUGACUGACCGAUAGUGAACCAGUACCGUGAGGGAAAGGCGAAAAGAACCCCGGCGAGGGGAGUGAAAAAGAACCUGAAACCGUGUACGUACAAGCAGUGGGAGCACAGAGCAAUCUGUGUGACUGCGUACCUUUUGUAUAAUGGGUCAGCGACUUAUAUUCUGUAGCAAGGUUAACCGAAUAGGGGAGCCGAAGGGAAACCGAGUCUUAACCGGGCGUUAAGUUGCAGGGUAUAGACCCGAAACCCGGUGAUCUAGCCAUGGGCAGGUUGAAGGUUGGGUAACACUAACUGGAGGACCGAACCGACUAAUGUUGAAAAAUUAGCGGAUGACUUGUGGCUGGGGGUGAAAGGCCAAUCAAACCGGGAGAUAGCUGGUUCUCCCCGAAAGCUAUUUAGGUAGCGCCUCGUGAAUUCAUCUCCGGGGGUAGAGCACUGUUUCGGCAAGGGGGUCAUCCCGACUUACCAACCCGAUGCAAACUGCGAAUACCGGAGAAUGUUAUCACGGGAGACACACGGCGGGUGCUAACGUCCGUCGUGAAGAGGGAAACAACCCAGACCGCCAGCUAAGGUCCCAAAGUCAUGGUUAAGUGGGAAACGAUGUGGGAAGGCCCAGACAGCCAGGAUGUUGGCUUAGAAGCAGCCAUCAUUUAAAGAAAGCGUAAUAGCUCACUGGUCGAGUCGGCCUGCGCGGAAGAUGUAACGGGGCUAAACCAUGCACCGAAGCUGCGGCAGCGACACUGUGUGUUGUUGGGUAGGGGAGCGUUCUGUAAGCCUGUGAAGGUGUGCUGUGAGGCAUGCUGGAGGUAUCAGAAGUGCGAAUGCUGACAUAAGUAACGAUAAAGCGGGUGAAAAGCCCGCUCGCCGGAAGACCAAGGGUUCCUGUCCAACGUUAAUCGGGGCAGGGUGAGUCGACCCCUAAGGCGAGGCCGAAAGGCGUAGUCGAUGGGAAACAGGUUAAUAUUCCUGUACUUGGUGUUACUGCGAAGGGGGACGGAGAAGGCUAUGUUGGCCGGGCGACGGUUGUCCCGGUUUAAGCGUGUAGGCUGGUUUUCCAGGCAAAUCCGGAAAAUCAAGGCUGAGGCGUGAUGACGAGGCACUACGGUGCUGAAGCAACAAAUGCCCUGCUUCCAGGAAAAGCCUCUAAGCAUCAGGUAACAUCAAAUCGUACCCCAAACCGACACAGGUGGUCAGGUAGAGAAUACCAAGGCGCUUGAGAGAACUCGGGUGAAGGAACUAGGCAAAAUGGUGCCGUAACUUCGGGAGAAGGCACGCUGAUAUGUAGGUGAAGUCCCUCGCGGAUGGAGCUGAAAUCAGUCGAAGAUACCAGCUGGCUGCAACUGUUUAUUAAAAACACAGCACUGUGCAAACACGAAAGUGGACGUAUACGGUGUGACGCCUGCCCGGUGCCGGAAGGUUAAUUGAUGGGGUCAGCGCAAGCGAAGCUCUUGAUCGAAGCCCCGGUAAACGGCGGCCGUAACUAUAACGGUCCUAAGGUAGCGAAAUUCCUUGUCGGGUAAGUUCCGACCUGCACGAAUGGCGUAAUGAUGGCCAGGCUGUCUCCACCCGAGACUCAGUGAAAUUGAACUCGCUGUGAAGAUGCAGUGUACCCGCGGCAAGACGGAAAGACCCCGUGAACCUUUACUAUAGCUUGACACUGAACAUUGAGCCUUGAUGUGUAGGAUAGGUGGGAGGCUUUGAAGUGUGGACGCCAGUCUGCAUGGAGCCGACCUUGAAAUACCACCCUUUAAUGUUUGAUGUUCUAACGUGGACCCGUGAUCCGGGUUGCGGACAGUGUCUGGUGGGUAGUUUGACUGGGGCGGUCUCCUCCUAAAGAGUAACGGAGGAGCACGAAGGUUGGCUAAUCCUGGUCGGACAUCAGGAGGUUAGUGCAAUGGCAUAAGCCAGCUUGACUGCGAGCGUGACGGCGCGAGCAGGUGCGAAAGCAGGUCAUAGUGAUCCGGUGGUUCUGAAUGGAAGGGCCAUCGCUCAACGGAUAAAAGGUACUCCGGGGAUAACAGGCUGAUACCGCCCAAGAGUUCAUAUCGACGGCGGUGUUUGGCACCUCGAUGUCGGCUCAUCACAUCCUGGGGCUGAAGUAGGUCCCAAGGGUAUGGCUGUUCGCCAUUUAAAGUGGUACGCGAGCUGGGUUUAGAACGUCGUGAGACAGUUCGGUCCCUAUCUGCCGUGGGCGCUGGAGAACUGAGGGGGGCUGCUCCUAGUACGAGAGGACCGGAGUGGACGCAUCACUGGUGUUCGGGUUGUCAUGCCAAUGGCACUGCCCGGUAGCUAAAUGCGGAAGAGAUAAGUGCUGAAAGCAUCUAAGCACGAAACUUGCCCCGAGAUGAGUUCUCCCUGACCCUUUAAGGGUCCUGAAGGAACGUUGAAGACGACGACGUUGAUAGGCCGGGUGUGUAAGCGCAGCGAUGCGUUGAGCUAACCGGUACUAAUGAACCGUGAGGCUUAACCUUACAACGCCGAAGGUGUUU